UGAAAUCUCGAAGCUCAACUUCGAAACUGCGUCUGAAACUGCUAGUCUAGAGUGUCGGAGGGGGAAGGGGAAUUUCGCAUGUAGGGGUAAAAUCCGUAGAUAUGCGAAGGAACACCAGAGGCGAAGGCGCCUUCCUGGACAAGUAUUGACGCUGAGGCGCGAAAGCGUGGGGAUCAAACAGGAUUAGAUACCCUGGUAGUCCACGCCGUAAACGAUGAACACUAGUUAUUGGGGGUAUUGACUCCCUCAGUGACGCAGCUAACGCAUUAAG
rnacentral:rRNA from 1 species